UUGUCGCGUCUGCUGUGAAAGCCCGGGGCUCAACCCCGGGUCUGCAGUGGGUACGGGCAGACUAGAGUGCAGUAGGGGAGACUGGAAUUCCUGGUGUAGCGGUGAAAUGCGCAGAUAUCAGGAGGAACACCGAUGGCGAAGGCAGGUCUCUGGGCUGUUACUGACGCUGAGGAGCGAAAGCAUUGGGGAGCGAACAGGAUUAAAUACCCUGGUUAGUCCAUGCCGUAAACGUUGGGCACUAGGCGUGGGGGACAUUCCACGUUCUCCGCGCCGUAGCUAACGCAUUAAGUGCCCCGCCUGGGGAGUACGGCCGCAAGGCUAAAACUCAAAGGAAUUGACGGGGGCCCGCACAAGCGGCGGAGCAUGCGGAUUAAUUCGAUGCAACGCGAAGAACCUUACCAAGGCUUGACAUUCACCGGACCGCUCCAGAGAUGGGGUUUCCCUUCGGGGUCGGUGGACAGGUGGUGCAUGGUUGUCGUCAGCUCGUGUCGUGAGAUGUUGGGUUAAGUCCCGCAACGAGCGCAACCCUCGGUCUAUGUUGCCAGCACGUGAUGGUGGGGACUCAUAGGAGACUGCCGGGGUCAACUCGGAGGAAGGUGGGGAUGACGUCAAAUCAUCAUGCCCCUUAUGUCUUGGGCUUCACGCAUGCUACAAUGGCCGGUACAAAGGGUUGCGAUACUGUGAGGUGGAGCUAAUCCCAAAAAGCCGGUC
rnacentral:rRNA from 1 species